UACGUAGGGUCCGAGCGUUGUCCGGAAUUAUUGGGCGUAAAGGGCUCGUAGGCGGUUUGUCGCGUCGGGAGUGAAAACCCACAGCUCAACUGUGGGCUUGCGGUCGAUACGGGCAGGCUAGAGUUCGGUAGGGGAGACUGGAAUUCCCGGUGUAGCGGUGAAAUGCGCAGAUAUCGGGAGGAACACCAAUGGCGAAGGCAGCUCGCUGGGACGUGACUGACGCUGAGACGCGAAAGCGUGGGGAGCAAACAGG
rnacentral:rRNA from 1 species